rnacentral:rRNA from 1 species
GAUGAACGCUGGCGGCGUGCCUAAUACAUGCAAGUCGAGCGAACGGACGAGAAGCUUGCUUCUCUGAUGUUAGCGGCGGACGGGUGAGUAACACGUGGAUAACCUACCUAUAAGACUGGGAUAACUUCGGGAAACCGGAGCUAAUACCGGAUAAUAUUUUGAACCGCAUGGUUCAAAAGUGAAAGACGGUCUUGCUGUCACUUAUAGAUGGAUCUGGGCUGCAUUAGCUAGUUGGUAAGGUAACGGCUUACCAAGGCAACGAUGCAUAGCCGACCUGAUAGAGUGGUCGGCCGCACUGGAACGUGAACAGCGACAUGGCUCCUGCGGGAGGCAGCAGUAGGCAAUCGUACGCAAUGGGCGGGAGCCUGACGGAGCGGCGCGGCGUGAGUGGUGGAGGUCUUCGGUUCGUAAAACUCUGUUAUUAGGUAAAAACAUAUGUGUAAGUAGCUGUGCACAUCUUGACGGUAACUAAUCAGGAAGCCACGGCUAACUACGUG